rnacentral:tRNA from 3 species
UCCGCCCUGGUGUAAUGGCAACACGCCAGCCUUUGGAGCUGUGCAUUCUAGGUUCGAAUCCUAGGGGCGGAACAA